rnacentral:rRNA from 1 species
GGAUGAACGCUGGCGGCGUGCCUAACACAUGCAAGUCGAGCGAUCUUCUUCGGAAGAGAGCGGCGGACGGGUGAGUAACGCGUGGGUAACCUGCCUCAUACACAUGGAUAACAUACCGAAAGGUAUGCUAAUACAAGAUGAUAUAAGAGAUUCGCAUGGGUUUCUUAUCAAAGCUUUUGCGGUAUGAGAUGGACCCGCGUCUGAUUAGCUAGUUGGUAAGGUAAUGGCUUACCAAGGCGACGAUCAGUAGCCGACCUGAGAGGGUGAUCGGCCACAUUGGAACUGAGACACGGUCCAAACUCCUACAGGAGGCAGCAGUGGGGAAUAUUGCACAAUGGGCGAAAGCCUGAUGCAGCAACGCCGCGUGAGCGAUGAAGGCCUUCGGGUCGUAAAGCUCUGUCCUCAAGGAAGAUAAUGACGGUACUUGAGGAGGAAGCCCCGGCUAACUACGUG